UACGUAGGAGACGAGCGUUGUCCGGAGUUACUGGGCGUAAAGGGUGCGCAGGUGGCUGUGCGCGUGGGGAGUGAAAUCGCCCGGCUUAACUGGGCGGGGGCUUUCCAGACGGCGCGGCUUGAGCAGCGGAGGGGGGCGUGGAAUUCCGGGUGGAGCGGUGAAAUGCGCAGAUAUCAGGAGGAACACCAAUGGCGAAGGCAGCUCGCUGGGACGGUACUGACGCUGAGACGCGAAAGCGUGGGGAGCAAACAGG
rnacentral:rRNA from 1 species